GAUGAAGGAACGUAGCGAAAUGCGAUAAGUAAUGUGAAUUGCAGAAUUCAGUGAAUCAUCGAAUCUUUGAACGCACCUUGCGCUCCUUGGUAUUCCGAGGAGCAUGCCUGUUUGAGUGUCAUUAAUAUAUCAACCUCUCCAAGCUUAUGCUUGUUGAGUGCUGGAUGUGGGGGUAUUUUUGCUGGCGUCUUUAUGAAGUCAGCUCCCCUGAAAUGCAUUAGCGGGACAAUUUGUUGACCGUUCAUUGGCGUGAUAAAUAUCUAUGCUAUUGAUGUCAGUCAGUUCAGCUUCUAACAGUCCAUUGACUUGGACAAAUGUUUUUCAUUAAUGUGACCUCAAAUCAGGUAGGACUACCCGCUGAACUUAAGCAUAUCAAUAAGCGGAGGA
rnacentral:misc_RNA from 1 species